UUUCCAGACUCCUACGGGAGGCAGCAGUGGGGAAUAUUGCACAAUGGGGGAAACCCUGAUGCAGCGAUGCCGCGUGGAGGAAGAAGGUUUUCGGAUUGUAAACUCCUUUUAUCAGGGACGAUAAUGACGGUACCUGAAGAAAAAGCUCCGGCUAACUACGUGCCAGCAGCCGCGGUAAUACGUAGGGAGCGAGCGUUGUCCGGAAUUACUGGGUGUAAAGGGAGCGCAGGCGGGAAGCCAAGUCAGCUGUGAAAACUACGGGCUUAACUUGUAGACUGCAGUUGAAACUGGUUUUCUUGAGUGAAGUAGAGGUUGGCGGAAUUCCGAGUGUAGCGGUGAAAUGCGUAGAUAUUCGGAGGAACACCGGUGGCGAAGGCGGCCAACUGGGCUUUAACUGACGCUGAGGCUCGAAAGUGUGGGGAGCAAACAGGAUUAGAUACCCGAGUA
rnacentral:rRNA from 1 species